CUGAAUCAUGGGGGCGGGUUUUUCGUAUGCUCUUCUCGUGAUAGUAAGUCUCACGAGUUCGUUAUAAAAGGCAGUUCCCCUGCACAUGCUCUCUUGCCUGCUGUCAUGCAACGUGUCUUUGCUCCUCCUUCACCUUCCGCCAUGAUUGUGAGGCUUCCCCAGCCAUGUGGAAACAUAUUCGCAGAGCACCCACUAGGUGCCAGUAAAUGUAUGAGAAGUCCUGUGGAAUAAGACUGAAGUUGUCCUUGCCUUCAAGCAACUUGCAAUUGCCUAAGAACACAGUUUAAAACCACAAAACUAAGCCUUGGAAAUCACAUGCUGUCAUUUCUGCGAUCGGUCAUAACCAGUCCUGAUUCCAUGUUAGAGGAGACUACAUAAGGACACAGGUACCAGAAGAUGAAAAAUUUGGAGUCUAGUGAAAAGAAGUGACUUGCUCAAAAUCACACAGCACAUGAAGAACAGAGCCUCUAUGAUGAAUUUCUUGACAGAUCAAGAACUACUUUGGACUUUAUGUCUUAUUACUCAAGGAAGACAUUUCCUAAGCUACAGAGGCCAUAGAUAGUGAUUCCUCUGAUGGAUCUUGGCAAAGUAAGUGGAAAACUUUCUGGAAAGAAUUCACAACUCUAGAUGUCAUUAAGAACAUUUGGGAUUCCUGGGAGGGGAUCAAAAUAUCAUUAACGGGAAUUUGGAAGAAGUUGACUCCAACCCUCAUGGAUGAAAUCGAGGGAUUCAAGACUUCAGUGGAGGAAGUAACUGCAGACAUGGUGGAAAUAGUGAGAGAACUAGAAUUAGAAGUGAAGCCUGAAUAUGUAACUGAAUUGCUGCAAUCUUACGAUGAAAUUUUAAGAGAUAACGAGUUGUUUCUUAUGAAUGAGCAAAGAAAAUGGUUUUUUGAGAUGGAAUCUACUGCUGGUGAAGAUGCUCUAAACAUUGGUGAAAUGACUAUUUAGAAUAUUACAUAAACUUAGUUGAUAACAUGGUGGCAGGGAUUGAGAAGAUUGACUCCAAUUUAGGGAGAGAAUUACUACUGCAGGUAAAAUGCUGUCGGACAGCGUUGCAUGCUACAGAGAAAUCUUUCAUCAGAGGAAAAAUCAAUUGAUGGAGAAAACAUUAUUGUCAUCUUAUUUUAAGAAAUUACCACAGCCACCCCAACCUUCAGCAACCAUCUCUGAUGAGUCAGCAGCCAUCAACAUCAAGGCAAGACCCUCCACCAGCAAAAUGAUUACAACUUGCUAAAUGCUCAGAUUAUUAUUAGCAUAUUUUAGCAAUAAAAUAUUUUUAUUUUUAAGAUGGGAGUUUACCUGCACAAAACUCUUUUUUUGCCUGCUACCAUCCACGUUAGAUAUGACUUGCUCCUCCUUGCCUUCCAUCAUGAUUGUGAGGCCUGCCCAGACAUGUGGAACUGAUCCCAUUGAGGAUGCCACAUUAUGUUUCAUUGCCAUGUCUCCAUAGACUCUUCUUGGUUGUGAUGGUUUCUCACGCUUUUCUUGGUUUUGAAGACGUUGACAAUUUUCUUCCAUUGGGAUUUGCUUGAUGCUUUUCUCAUGAUUACACUGGAACUGUGACUUUUUAGAAGGAAGAUCAUAGAGGAGAAGAAACUGAGGUUCAAGGACUAGUAACCAGCAGCAGAUCACACAGCUGGAAGACAACUAAGAGCAAAAAAACUCACAACAGAUGGAGGACUCAAUGCUUAUGUUGGAGAAGGAAGCUACAUUGUCCCUGAGUUCAUGGAAAUGUCAAGUCUAGAAGAUGGAAAAGUUCAGUUAAUAUCUCCAGAGACCCACAAGUCAGAAUAAAAGGCCAUGGAACCACAAACCUGUAGGUGAAUGCACAUCCAUUAGCAUUCCUGUAAGUACGUGUAUUUGGUGGCUUUGCUGGAGUAACAAACUACCUCAAGAUCUCAGUGUUAUAUGAAACAAAG
rnacentral:lncRNA from 10 species